rnacentral:rRNA from 1 species
GCUAAAUACUCCUGACUGACCGAUAGUGAACCAGUACCGUGAGGGAAAGGCGAAAAGAACCCCGGCGAGGGGAGUGAAAAAGAACCUGAAACCGUGUACGUACAAGCAGUGGGAGCACCCUUUGGGUGUGACUGCGUACCUUUUGUAUAAUGGGUCAGCGACUUAUAUUCUGUAGCAAGGUUAACCGAAUAGGGGAGCCGGAGGGAAACCGAGUCUUAACCGGGCGUUAAGUUGCAGGGUAUAGACCCGAAACCCGGUGAUCUAGCCAUGGGCAGGUUGAAGGUUGGGUAACACUAACUGGAGGACCGAACCGACUAAUGUUGAAAAAUUAGCGGAUGACCUGUGGCUGGGGGUGAAAGGCCAAUCAAACCGGGAGAUAGCUGGUUCUCCCCGAAAGCUAUUUAGGUAGCGCCUCGUGAAUUCAUCUCCGGGGGUAGAGCACUGUUUCGGCUAGGGGGCCAUCCCGGCUUACCAACCCGAUGCAAACUGCGAAUACCGGAGAAUGUUAUCACGGGAGACACACGGCGGGUGCUAACGUCCGUCGUGAAGAGGGAAACAACCCAGACCGCCAGCUAAGGUCCCAAAGUCAUGGUUAAGUGGGAAACGAUGUGGGAAGGCCCAGACAGCCAGGAUGUUGGCUUAGAAGCAGCCAUCAUUUAAAGAAAGCGUAAUAGCUCACUGGUCGAGUCGGCCUGCGCGGAAGAUGUAACGGGGCUAAACCAUGCACCGAAGCUGCGGCAGCGACACUGUGUGUUGUUGGGUAGGGGAGCGUUCUGUAAGCCUGUGAAGGUGUGUCGUGAGGC